rnacentral:rRNA from 1 species
ACACGACUACAUUAGAUACCCGCGUAGUCCUAGCCGUAAACGAUACUCGCUAGGUGUCGGCCACGGUGCGACCGUUGUCGGUGCCGUAGGGAAGCCGUGAAGCGAGCCACCCGGGAAGUACGGCCGCAAGGCUGAAACUUAAAGGAAUUGGCGGGGGAGCACAACAACGGGUGGAGCUUGCGGUUUAAUUGGAUUCAACGCCGGAAAUCUUACCGGGACCGACAGCAACAUGAAGGCCAAGCUGAAGACUUUGCCGGAUUAGCUG